CAGGUCGCUGUCCUCUGCAGGCUGCUGCAGAACCCGGUCCAGGUCCCUGAGUGCCCGGUUAUACUCCCGCAGCUGGGUCAAGCAGGCCACUCGGAGACGCAGAUGGAGAGGAUCUCAGGGAUAACAGAGCCCAGGUCAAGCUUCAGGGCGGAGACCAUGUCAUCCACAGCUUCCUGCAAGGAAGAAGAGCCCAUGAGCGUCAGAAUGGGAGAGAUCAUCCCCAGGGUUCCAUUUUCUCUCCCUGGAGACUCACAAGCGGCUGCCAGUAGGAGGGCCUGGCUCUGUUUCCACAAGCCUGGGGUUGGGGGAAGCUGUGUAUUCUGAGCCUUGGAAGGUUUCCUUUGAACUGCAGCCCCAGCCACUUAAGCCUUUGAAGGGGAUCAAGAUUCCAGCCAGGCAAGAGAAGAACAUAGAAGCUGGCUGCUUCCUCAGCCCAGACUUUGAGGCCCGAAAUCACCCAGAAACAGGACCUCAGUGCAAACAGAGAGCCCCAGGACACCUAAGCCAGGAGCAGGCACAGAUGAGGAAGCUGAGGGUCAGAGAAGCAAGGGCUGGAUACAGGUGCAUCUACUUGGUGACCACAAUUCUAAUUCCCAAGUCCGAAGAGCUGUCGCCCUCUUCUGGCUUUUGCUGGCACUGCACACACGGGAUACAUAAAAUAGGCCAGCAAAUUAAAAAAAAGAAAAGAAAAGAAAAAGAAAAUUAUUUUAAAAGUUG